UACAGAGGGUGCAAGCGUUGUUCGGAAUUAUUGGGCGUAAAGGGCGCGUAGGCGGUGCUGUAAGUCUGUAGUGAAAUCUCUGGGCUCAACUCAGAGUCUGCUAUAGAAACUGCAGUGCUGGAGUGUGGGAGAGGUGAGUGGAAUUCCCCGGUGUAGCGGUGAAAUGCGUAGAUAUCGGGAGGAACACCUGUGGCGAAAGCGGCUCACUGGACCACAACUGACGCUGAGGCGCGAAGCUAGGGGAGCAAACAGGG
rnacentral:rRNA from 1 species